AGCGAACGCUGGCGGCAGGCUUAACACAUGCAAGUCGAGCGGGCAUCCUUGUGGUGUCCGCGGCAGACGGGUGAGUAACGCGUGGGAACGUGCCCUUCGGUUCGGAAUAACUCAGGGAAACUUGAGCUAAUACCGGAUACGUGCGAGAGCAGAAAGGUUUAUCUGCCGAAGGAUCGGCCCGCGUCUGAUUAGCUAGUUGGUGAGGUUAUGGCUCACCAAGGCGACGAUCAGUAGCUGGUCUGAGAGGAUGAUCAGCCACACUGGGACUGAGACACGGCCCAGACUCCUACGGGAGGCAGCAGUGGGGAAUAUUGGACAAUGGGGGCAACCCUGAUCCAGCCAUGCCGCGUGAGUGAUGACGGCCGUAGGGUUGUAAAGCUCUUUUCUGCGUGACGAUAAUGACGGUACCGGAGGAAUAAGCCCCGGCUAACUUCGUG
rnacentral:rRNA from 1 species